rnacentral:rRNA from 1 species
UUCCGGUUGAUCCUGCCGGACCUGACUGCUAUCGGAUUGAUACUAAGCCAUGCGAGUCAUUGCAGCAAUACAAGGCAUACGGCUCAGUAACGCGUAGUCAACCUACCCUAUGGACGGGAAUAACCUCGGGAAACUGAGAAUAAUAUCCGAUAGAACAUUAUUCCUGGAAUGGUUUAUGUUUCAAAUGAUUUAUUGCCGUAGGAUGGGACUGCGGCCUAUCAGUUUGUUGGUGAGGUAAUGGCCCACCAAGACUAUUACAGGUACGGGCUCUGAGAGGAGUGGCCCGGAGAUGGGUACUGAGACACGGACCCAGGCCCUAUGGGGCACAGCAGGCGAGAAAACUUUGCAAUGUGCGAAAGCACGACAAGGUUAAUCCGAGUGGUUUCUGCUAAAGGAACCUUUUGACAGUCAUAGAAACACUGUUGAAUAAGGGGUGGGCAAGUUCUGGUGUCAGCCGCCGCGGUAAAACCAGCACCUCAAGUGGUCAGGAUGAUUAUUGGGCCUAAAGCAUCCGUAGCCGGCUCUGUAAGUUUUCGGUUAAAUCCGCACGCUCAACGUACAGGCUGCUGGGAAUACUGCAGAGCUAGGGAGUGGGAGAGGUAGACGGUACUCGGUAGGAAGGGGUAAAAUCCUUUGAUCUAUUGAUGACCACCUGUGGCGAAGGCGGUCUACCAGAACACGUCCGACGGUGAGGGAUGAAAGCUGGGGGAGCAAGCCGGAUUAGAUACCCGGGUAGUCCCAGCUGUAAACUAUGCAAACUCGAUGAUGCAUUGACUUAAGGUCAACGCAGUGUCGCAGGGAAGCCGUUAAGUUUGCCGCCUGGGAAGUACGUACGCAAGUAUGAAACUUAAAGGAAUUGGCGGGGGAGCACCACAAGGGGUGAAGCCUGCGGUUCAAUUGGAUUC